rnacentral:rRNA from 1 species
UUGCAAUGUGCGAAAGCACGACAAGGUUAAUCCGAGUGAUUUCUGCUAAAGAAAUCUUUUGUUAGUCAUAAAACCACUGACGAAUAAGGGGUGGGCAAGUUCUGGUGUCAGCCGCCGCGGUAAAACCAGCACCUCAAGUGGUCAGGAGAAUUAUUGGGCCUAAAGCAUCCGUAGCCGGUUCUCUAAGUUUUUGGUUAAAUCUAUGUGCUCAACGCAUAGGCCGCCGAAAAUACUGAAGAGCUAGGGAGUGGGAGAGGUAGACGGUACUUGAUAGGAAGGGGUAAAAUCUUUUGAUCUAUCGAUGACCACCUGUGGCGAAGGCGGUCUACCAGAACACGUUCGACGGUGAGGGAUGAAAGCUGGGGGAGCAAACCGGAUUAGAUACCCGGGUAGUCCCAGCUGUAAACGAUGCAGACUAGAUGAUGCAUUGGCAUAUAGCCAGUGCAGUAUCUCAGGGAAGCCGUUAAGUCUGCCGCCUGGGAAGUACGUACGCAAGUAUGAAACUUAAAGGAAUUGGCGGGGGAGCACCACAAGGGGUGAAGCCUGCGGUUCAAUUGGAGUCAACGCCAGAAAUCUUACCCGGAGAGACAGCAGAAUGAAGGUCAAGCUGAAGACUUUACCAGACGCGCUGAGAGGUGGUGCAUGGCCGUCGCCAGCUCGUGCCGUGAGAUGUCCUGUUAAGUCAGGUAACGAGCGAGAUCCCUGCUACUAGUUGCUAUCAUUAUUCUCAGGAAUAGUGGAGCGAAUUAGUGGGACUGCCGUUGUUAAAACGGAGGAAGGAAGGGGCUACGGCAGGUCAGUAUGCCCCGAAACUCUGGGGCCACACGCGGGCUGCAAUGGUAGUGACAAUGGGCACCAAACUCGAAAGAGUGUGGCAAUCCCUAAACGCUACCACAGUUAUGACUGAGGGCUGCAACUCGCCCUCACGAAUAUGGAAUCCCUAGUAACCGCGUGUCAUUACCGCGCGGUGAAUACGUCCCUGCUCCUUGCACACACCGCCCGUCGUUUCAUCGAAGUUUGCUUUUAGCGAGGUGAUGUUUAAUUGGCAUUAUCGAACUUGAGGUAAGCGACGAGGGAAAAGUCGUAACAAGGUGACCGUAGGGGAACCUGCGGUCGGAUCACCUCCU